UAGCAGCACAGAAAUAGUAGAA
rnacentral:miRNA from 1 species